UACGUAGGAGGCGAGCGUUGUCCGGAAUUACUGGGCGUAAAGGGUGCGUAGGCGGCGUGGCAAGUCUGAUGUGAAAUCCCGGGGCUCAACCCCGGAACUGCAUUGGAUACUGCCAUGCUAGAGUACUGGAGAGGAGAUUGGAAUUUACGGUGUAGCAGUGAAAUGCGUAGAUAUCGUAAGGAAGACCAGUGGCGAAGGCGAAUCUCUGGACAGUUACUGACGCUGAGGCACGAAGGCCAGGGGAGCAAACGGG
rnacentral:rRNA from 1 species